rnacentral:lncRNA from 1 species
AUUAUCAAACUAAUAAAUAAGUGUAAAUACUUUUUAACGCAAUACGUUUUUAAAAUUAAAAUAAAUGUUAUAUACAUGUAUGUAAAAAAUUAUUUAAUUGGAUAUCUAUUCAUUCAGAGAUUUUUUUUUUUUGGGCAAACACAUUCAGAGAUAUUUUCAAUCACAUAAAUUUGUAUAUUAAUAAUAAGAGCAUACAUCUCCAUUAAGUAUUUUUACUGGCUUACUGUUUCCUCUCUAUAAUAGGCCAUCAAAUCAAUCAUGCAUGUAAGUAAGUAAACAAUAAAGAAAUAACCAUUGCAUAUUCACACGCUCCAACGGUAAACAAUUGGGAGAUCAUAUUG